GUAGGGAAUUUUCGUCAAUGGGCGCAAGCCUGACCCAGCAACGCCGCGUGAAGGAAGAAGGCUUUCGGGUUGUAAACUUCUUUUAAGAGGGACGAAGGACGUGACGGUACCUCUUGAAUAAGCCACGGCUAACUACGUGCCAGCAGCCGCGGUAAUACGUAGGUGGCAAGCGUUAUCCGGAUUUAUUGGGUGUAAAGGGCGUGUAGGCGGGACUGCAAGUCAGAUGUGAAAACCAUGGGCUCAACCCAUGGCCUGCAUUUGAAACUGUAGUUCUUGAGUGCUGGAGAGGCAAUCGGAAUUCCGUGUGUAGCGGUGAAAUGCGUAGAUAUACGGAGGAACACCAGUGGCGAAGGCGGAUUGCUGGACAGUAACUGACGCUGAGGCGCGAAAGCGUGGGGAGCAAACAGGA
rnacentral:rRNA from 1 species